ensembl:snoRNA small nucleolar RNA, H/ACA box 3B
GCCGAGACUAGAGUCACAUCCCGACACAACCCUUGUCGUGGUGUGCUAGCGUCCUCGGAGAGAAUCUGCUGGUCUUGAUUCACUGGUGGGGCAGCCAGUGCCCGCGUUAGUGCCCAGAUCAGAAACAUGC